rnacentral:rRNA from 1 species
CGAACGGGUGAGUAACGCGUGAGUAACCUGCCCUGGAGUGGGGGACAACAGUUGGAAACGACUGCUAAUACCGCAUAAGCCCACGGAUCCGCAUGGAUCUGCGGGAAAAGGAUUUAUUCGCUUCAGGAUGGACUCGCGUCCAAUUAGCUAGUUGGUGAGGUAACGGCCCACCAAGGCGACGAUCGGUAGCCGGACUGAGAGGUUGAACGGCCACAUUGGGACUGAGACACGGCCCAG